UAAUUAUACCGUAAAUUUAACUGUUAUUCUAAAGGGGUACAGCCCUUUAGAUUAAGGAUACAACCUUAAUUAGAGAGUAAAAUAUAUUUAUACCCAUAGUUGGCCUAAAAGCAGCCAUCAAUUAAGAAAGCGUUCAAGCUCAACAAUAACUAACCCCUUAAUUCAACAAUUCCCUAUUAACUCCUAAUUUUCUACUGGACUAAUCUAUUAAUUAAUAGAAGAAAUACUGUUAAUAUGAGUAACAAGAUUUAUAUCUCCCAGCACAAGCUUAUGUCAGAUCAAAUAAUAACUGAUAGUUAACAGCCAAAUAAAUAUAAACUUACAUAAACCAUUUAUUAAUUUACUGUUAAUCCAACACAGGUGUGCAUAAAGGAAAGAUUAAAAGAAAUAAAAGGAACUCGGCAAACACAAACCCCGCCUGUUUACCAAAAACAUCACCUCUAGCAUAACUAGUAUUAGAGGCACUGCCUGCCCAGUGACAAUCUGUUAAACGGCCGCGGUAUCCUGACCGUGCAAAGGUAGCAUAAUCAUUUGUUCCUUAAAUAGGGACUUGUAUGAAUGGCCACACGAGGGUUUAACUGUCUCUUAUUUCUAAUCAGUGAAAUUGACCUUUCCGUGAAGAGGCGGAAAUACCUUAAUAAGACGAGAAGACCCUAUGGAGCUUUAAUUGACCUAAUCCAACAGAACAAAACUUAACUCCGUCAAGGAUUAACAAAUAUUCUAACUGGAUUAUAAAUUUCGGUUGGGGUGACCUCGGAGCACAAAACAACCUCCGAAAAGUGUCUACUAAGACCUACUAGUCAAAGUAAAACUUCAUAAAUUGAUCCAGUUUUACUGAUCAACGGAACAAGUUACCCUAGGGAUAACAGCGCAAUCCUAUUCUAGAGUCCCUAUCGACAAUAGGGUUUACGACCUCGAUGUUGGAUCAGGACAUCCCAAUGGUGCAGCAGCUAUUAAUGGUUCGUUU
rnacentral:rRNA from 1 species